AAGAAAGAGCGGACAUCUUCAGGUACACGCCAACGGAGAAAGCGUCACGGACAACUUCCUGAAGGCCCUUUGAUGCAGAACAACCCUCAUCACCAAGGUCUGGACGCGCAAGAUGAACCGACCGGUACAAGCGUGGCCUCGGCGUCAAGUGAUUCGUGAAUCCUCCAGGAACCGAAGCCUUGCAACACAAAUGAGUGGGAGUGGCUUUUCGAGUAAGGCUAUGACCUUUCCCCGGAUGCCCUUGUGCGUGACCCGGACUUGACCUAGAUGGAAUGACGAGCCGCCGUGUGAACUUCCCGUUCGAUUUAAGCACUCCACGACUGUUUUUCACGAACACUCCUAGACAUUGUGACGAGACCAAUGCGCAUUUACACCUAGACGCCCUAUGUCUUCAUUGCAGUGUUUCUUGCAAAGGAAAGCGCCACGCGGCGUGCGCUGAUGUGUAUUCACUUAAU
rnacentral:misc_RNA from 1 species